UACGGAGGGUGCGAGCGUUGUCCGGAAUCACUGGGCGUAAAGGGCGCGUAGGUGGCCUGUGGAAGUCUGCGGUGAAAGCCCGGCGCUCAACGCCGGGUCGGCCGUGGAUACUCUCGGGCUCGAGCUUACUAGAGGCAGAUGGAAUUCCGGGUGUAGCGGUGGAAUGCGUAGAGAUCCGGAAGAACACCGGUGGCGAAGGCGGCCUGCUGGGUUCUGGCUGACACUGAGGCGCGACAGCGUGGGGAGCAAACAGG
rnacentral:rRNA from 1 species